GUCGGCCUGCGGUUAGCACACACCCAUUCCUGCGAACUGCUGGUCUGGAAAUGGGGGCUGCUUCUCAGUAAUGAGCUUGAGCCCAGCCAAGCCCCGCAAGGCAUUGAAGCUUUAGCUUACAAUGAUCCGAAUGGUCGUGGGCCUCUGGGCUCAAGUUACGACCGAAUUUUUCUGGGACACGUUCUGAAAUAAUCUCAGGAUCACUCUCCGAACUUGGCCUGAGUCUAGGCAAGCAGUGUUACUCGGUUGCCUUGAUCUUGGAGCUGCUGUGUACUGGGGACCGCAAACUAGUUAACUAUAUUCCCAUUAGCAGUAUAUGGGAUCACAGUACUCGGGACUAGCUGAGUUCAGAUAUUUGGCUGCUAUGAGUAACAUGACCUGGAAAGAGAGCACUAGCAAGGAAUGAGGAGUGAUAUAGUGACUGGCGGCUCAGAGAUAAUGUCUACAAGUCACCUAAAACCAUUGCAGAUACAGGGAGAUUGGCUGUUAUGAAUUUGGAGGAUUUCUGGUUGUGAAGACUCUGAUGAUUGCUAAGGAUGUCUCUCACUCUAUUGCCCAAGCUGGACUGCAGUGGCGCGAUCAUGGCCCACUGCAGCCACGACUUCCAGGGUUCGAGCCAUCAUCCCACCUCAGCCUCCUGAGUAGCUGGGACCGCAACUUAGUAACAGUCAUGGACAACUGCAUGUGAAUCUUAUGGCUGUUAUUGGUCAACCUAGCAACCAUGCCGGUUCCCAAG